ensembl:miRNA mdo-mir-7264 mdo-mir-7264
UGGCUGUUUAGGAAAUGAGAAGAUAAUUACUCUAUGGUGACCUUCUCAAUUCUGAAUGGCAGGU